GGGCGCCCCUCCCCCAGCCUCGCUGCCGCCUUGCAGUUUGAUCUCAGACGGCUGUGCUAGCAAUCAGUGAGACUCCGUGGGCGUAGGACCCUCCCAGCCAGGUGCCGGAUAUAAUCUCGUGGUGCGCCGGUUUUUAAGCCCGUCGGAAAAGCGCAGUAUUCAGGUGGGAGUGACCCGAUUUUCCAGGUGCCGUCUGUCACCCCUUUCUUUGACUAGGAAAGGGAACUCCCUGACCCCUUGCACUUCCCGAGUGAGGCAAUGCCUCGCCCUGCUUCAGCUCGCACAUGGUGCGCGCACCCACUGACCUGCGCCCACUGUCUGGCACUCCGUAGUGAGAUGAACCCGGUACCUCAGAUGGAAAUGCAGAAAUCACCCAUCUUCUGCGUCACUCAAGCUGGGAGCUGUAGACCGGAGCUGUUCCUAUUCGGCCAUCUUGGCUCCUCCGCUCUAUUUGCAGUUCUUAAAGGCCAAGUCUCGCCACAUGGCAUCAUUUCCUCCUCACCUGCAGAAUCGCUGUGACUUAUGGCUCCUCUGAUUGCACCUGCUUUCACCAGCAGCCCUGGAAGAGAGCUCUUCUGUGUGGAUAAGAGUUGAGAGAUCUUGGUUUCAUUACUUGUUUAAAUUGGACCCUCUCAAAUGAAUGUAAGCACAUAAUGGGGGGACUACACUAUGAGAUUAAAAGGAAUCCAGCUGUUACCAGAAAUGGGUGCCUGCCAGGUUUAUCCACCAAAUUCUUUCCACUUCAUGUCAUUAAAAUAAAAUUUGAGUUUUAAAAUGAAAAUUUCUCAGAUUGAUAUGAAUUUGUCUCAUUGAUUUUAUUAAUAUAGCCAGUUAACAUAACAAUUCUAUCAUACAAGGAAAUGAGAAUAAUACAAAAGCAAAAAUAAGGGUAGGG
rnacentral:lncRNA from 1 species